GAAUCAUGCAAGUUGUAUAGCAUGAUGAAUGAGAACUUUCAAGUUUUGGAAAAUUAAGACUAAUUACUUGUUCACAUGGAUGUGUGAGUCAAGUAAAGGACUAAGGGAUCGAGUACACAUUCUUGUGCACUGAUUAAGUCCACCACUAAAGAUCGAUAAGAAGAAUCAAAUAAGGCAGAAGGAUAAAAGUUUCUCAAAUCUGAAAAGAUGGGAGAGUACUUUAGUAUCAGUUUUGUGAUCAUCUUAAUGAUUAAGAAACCAUAUCAAAAUUAGUUCUCUAAGGAAAUCUUAGUGCAUUCUUAUGACUAAGAAGAGGAACUUGAAUUGUUGAAAUGGUUAAAUCAAGAAGAUGAGUCAUACUUCGUUCCAAUACAAGUCUUAGAGUCAUACUCCAAGAUUGUCAUUUGAGUGACAUGUCUUAAAGAAGGUUUAAAACACUUGUCAAAUGUAAGAGUAAAAGUUUUCUACUCUUGUACAUUUGAAAUUGGUAAGUUGUGAUGUUUUGGAUAAAACAAAGACCAACUUAGGCCAAUUGGGUAAAGUGUUUUUCUUGAUUAGAAUCCGCACUAUCUCUUGGAUGUUUGACAAGGGAGUCUUAUAUGUCAAGAGGACAGUGGGAGUCUUAAAGGUCUUGAAAGUCUCAAGAAAUAAUCAAGAAUAAAACCUAAAGUUCUUCACUAGCACACGACUUGAGGUUUAUAACCUAUCGUGUUGACAUAUCUGUGCCCAUUCCAGUUAAAGUUGGCUUUGCAUAUGAGUUCUUAGAGUUCUCAGUUUGUUGCAUAACAACUUGGAAGCAAUGGCAGGCCCUUGAGCUGCCAGGUGGCAAGAAGUUAAGAUUGAGUUCAAUCCAUAUGGUUUUGGAUUUGUCAUUAUCUUUGUCUUGUGAUUAUGGUUUGACAAAUUCAUAUGGGUAGGAACUCAUACACCAUAUAAAUCUAAGUGUCAUAAGGUUUCUCUCCGAUUCAUGAAAAUGAUGGUGAGGAAACGCUUUCACUAAGUAGAUUUUACGAAGAUAUCAAUUGUGUUAUUUGCAUUUUCAAAAGUCGUUAGUGGAGCGCGUGUGGUUAACCGGCACACUAACAUGGACUUGUGAGAAAUGGCAAAUGCCUAAGCAAUUGAGACCAUGAUUACGGUAUCCCUUUUCAUGGUUCUUGAAAUUGCUUAGACACACAGGUGAGCUAUCUACGGAAAGGGUGUAUGAAUCUAAAUUUCAGACUGUCCAGCUGAUUUCUGAGUACAUGUCAAAGCUAGUGGGAGCAUAAGUGUUAUGCUAAUAAUCAUCAUGUUAGUGGGAGCAUGAUAAUUAUGAUAAGUAUUGCAAGUUAGCAAUGUUAAUUAUAGAAAACAAAAGUUUCAAUUGGGAAAAAGUUGUUUUGCUAUAAUUAAGGGAGAGGAAAUUAUGCUUCAUCUCAAAUCUAUAAGCUUAGAUCGUGAGGUUUUAAUCAUUUAGUCAAGGAUAUAUAUGAAUUUCAUGUUGGAAUGGCUCAACAUAAGGAAAUUCUGUAUAUGGGUCCAUUAUUUGCGUUCUAAAAUUCGAUUAUGAUUACGGCAUCCCUUUUCAUAAUCUGAAUUAUGAGAACUUGGCAAAUUGAAAUGGAAAUAUUAUAGCAAAAGACUGGUUUAGUCUUUAUGUAAGACAUCAUGAAUCGUGUCCCAUAUGCUUCGGAUAUAGGAUCGAUUACAUGUGCUAUAUUCAUCCGUUCUAAAAUUUUCCAAAUGCCUGGGGCAUUAAGAAGGGAAAAGGUUUAGAACUGGAUAUGACUAAAAGGAUUAAACAAUUGUCGAGGACAAUCUAAGGUUUACCAAAGAUUGGUUACUCAAGGACAAUUGGAAGUAUAGUGAUAAUUCUGGAAGGACCAUAUUGACAUAAUCUGUAAGGAGGCAACUCUUGUUCAGAAGUGAUAGUCAAAAUGGAAUCUGGAAAUGUUUCAAAGUUAGAAUUUUCAAUCUGUGUAAGAUUAAGGAAACUUAAUGCAAGAAGGAUAUUUCCAAGGAGUUGAUCUCCUUUGGAAUACUCUGUAAUGAUUGUUGCCAAGUCUUUGUGACUUUGUGCAUAAUCAUUACAAGAGGAUCAAUGCAUAUAAGUUUAGAAUCUAACAGAUUUCAGUAAAUGGCAUGAAUUUGGAAUUCUUGCAUUUGCAGUAAGGAUUUGGGAGUGUGAAAAGAGAAUCAUUGAAGUUAUGUUCAAUUGAUCUAGUUCACAAAGUAAAGAUCAUAGACAAACAUAGUAUGCAUACUUGGUGUGUGGCAUGACUAGUGUUUAAGAAAACAUAGUGUACAUGCUUGGAGCAUGGGACAACUAUUGUUUUAAAUUCAAGAAUAAAGUUGAUAGCUGAAACAGUAUACAAUGAAUAAUGUGUAAUCAUAUGGUGAUAAAUAAAAGGUGUUUUAUUUAUGUUCAAAGGGUUGAUACCAUAUUGGAUUCAAUUAUUAUUGUGUUUCAUUUUGCAUGUUUUGACUUCCCGAAUAAACUGGGUUAUUCUUCCGGAAUGACUAAGUUAUUCAAACCAUCCACAGUCGGUCAUAUGUUGGAAGUAGAUAUGAAUUAAGACUGUCAUGGGUUGGCUUGUAGAGGUCUAAGGUGUUGGACAAAGGGCUACAACACUCAUGAGUGCUCAUAAGUUCUGAGUAUUGGAUUCAACCCGCGCUCAUUGGAAUCACUUCAUGGAUUUUAUCACGAGUGAUCAUGAGACGAUAAUAUCUUAUAUUCUUCAAACCUAGAGAUAUGAGUUGUUACUAUGAGUUGAUAGUACAUUGAUUGCACGAAAACGCAUUUGGUAACUCGGUGCUAUAAAACGUGCCUUUGUGUAUGAUUCAACAAGUAGUAGAACAAGCCAUAUGAGUCGAAGUUUAUCCAUUCCUUUUACCUUCGGGAUAAAAGCGAUAUCUGUGGGCCCCUCGAUGAUUUGAUGAUGACAAAUGGAAGUGCUCGGCCGGGCCAGGACUGAUUUGAUUUGUUCAAUUAGUCAGUCGUCAUAAAUCGGAAAUCGGGAAACAACAAAUGGACAGAGAGAAUGAUUAUAAUCCAUGUCUCAGUCCAUAUGAUAUCUAGAAUGGAGGAAUAUAUGAUCCCUUAUCUAAUGGACAAGUCAUUGACAAAGGUCAGAGUUCAUCUACAAGGUCAGAGUUCGACAGAAGCUUUUGAGAGCUACGAUUGCCGGUUGGUUCCUGAAGUCAUACGCAAUAAUAGUUUUAGACUUAUCCAAGUGGGAGACUGUUGGAUUAAUGUCUAAGUCCAUAACUAUAUUUGGUAAGACUUGACCCGACCCGGCAUGGUCCAUUUGGGUUGCAUACCAUCAUGCACUUGAAUGAGAGAAAUAAGACACUUAUGGUUAUUAAUAUAUUAUAAGUUCUAGUAUAUUAAUGAUAAGAAUAAUAAGAUUAUUUAAUUAGUAUUGAUCAAGAAUUAAUCUAGGAUUAGUUAAGUGAUCAAAAGAAGACUAAUUAAAUAUAUGGGUUGAUUGUGUAAAUCAUCCAUACUUGUAUAGUGGGCUAAUGCUCCAUGGAUAAUCAAGUUGGGCUAAAACCCAUAGGAUGGUCCAUGGAUGCUCCAUGGUGUAUUUGUACCCAUGGAUCCAAGGAAAUGGAAAGUCAUGACAAUUAGGGUUUUCCCUAAUUGUAACACUAUAUAAGCAUCAUAUUAUUCACCAAAAUCGGCACUAGUGGGUGUACUAGAAGGGCUAGCCGAUUUCAUGAAGUGUGGGUUUUCUCUCAAGUCAUUCCAAGUGUUUUGAUGAUUGUGAUUCCAUUUGAGGUGUCACACUUGGGGCACUAGGCACUCUAGCUUCAUGAAGACUUUCUUCUCCAAAGAGGUAUGUAUUCUAUCUUUCUAUAGUCAUUGUUUUGUAUGCUAGAUUAGGAUAAUACCUUGGAAGUUCUUAUUUGCAUGUAUAAUAGAGAAAACAUAGAUCCAAGGUAUUUAGGGUUGCAUGUACACUUAGGAAGUGUUAGAAUGCUCAAAACCUAACAGUUAGUACAACAGUAGUUACUAAAACAUAAUACUACAGAACUUCAUUAUUUUCCCCAUUACAUCUACUCUGUGAUCAUUCCACAUAAACGGUAAUGUGAAAACUAUAUUUUAUUAAAUGAUAGUCACAUUUAGGAGAAAAACUCACUUUUACAAUGAACAAACAUACAUCACAUUUGAUGCCUUGGUAGAAGGCUACUUUUAGUAGAAAAUAUAGGAUUUUCUAGGAGAUACAAUCAAUUACUACAAACUGUUACAAACUGAUACAUCAUAUACUUACAAAGAUUUUCAUACAAACAAUGACACUAAAAUGCUUAUGAACUCACCGGGUUUAAAGCUGAUAAACUCUUUCAAAAUAACUUGUAUUCUCAGGUCAUCAGUAGACAGGUACCGAUGCCAGGUUUUGAGAAUACGGAGCUCGUUCAAGACUCAUCUCUUAUUUUGAUUUACAUUUUGGUGUCUUUUAAACUUCACAGAACACACUUGUAUUAAAUUAUAUUAUUAAUGCAAUGGAUAAUGUUGUUUCUUGUUUACUAUUAUUCUGUGUUGUGAUAUUGUACAUGACGUCCUCCACCCCCGAAAGUUGCCGUCGUUCCGGUUUUGGGGUGUAACACCUACAUGUCUCGACUUCCCAUUAUAUACCGCAUUAUCCACUUUAGACAGUGUGGACUCGUUGUCACAGUACAUGGGUAUUAAAGGCAUUGUAAUAUCCCACAAACGGAUAUCCAUAAGUAAAUCUCGAAUGCAGUAUGCCUCCUUGCCCGCUGCCGCUAAGGUAAUUAGCUCCGCUUCCAUCGUUGAAUGAGUUAUGCAUGUCUGUUUCUUGCUCACCCAAGAAAUAGCACCACCAACUGCAGUAUAAAUCCAACCAUUUGUGGAUUUUGAAUCGCUAGUGUAAUCAAUCCAGUUGGCAUCGGAAUAACUUUCAUGUAUUCCAUUAGAUGAUGAAUACGUCAACUCAAAAGUACUUGUCCUUUUCAGCUACACUAGCAUGCUACCCAUUGCCUUCUAUUGCUCCAUCCCUGGAUUAACAGUAUAUUGAAUCAGUUUUCUUACAGCAAAUACGAUAUUAGGUCGAGUGCAGUGAGUAGCCUACAUCAUGCUUCCAACUGCACUAGCAUAUUCUAGUUGAGCCACAGCUCGACUAGAAUUCACCUUAAGUUUCACACUUGAAUCAAAAGGAGUGUUGAAUUCCUUAAUGUUCAAAUUUUGAAACUUUGUCAGAAUUUUCUCUAUGUAAUGAGAUUGACUCAGAGAAAUCUGACCACCUAUCCUUUUCACCUUGAUACCAAGAAUUGUAUCAACUUCUCCAAGAUCUUUCAUCUUAAAGUUCGAGGAUAGGUAUUUCUUCGUCUCAAGAAUACCUUCUAGGUAAGUGCUAAUGAUCAACAUAUCAUCAACAUAAAGAAAUCUAACUACGAUGUAAUCGGAUGUAUGUUUAGAAUAAAUACACCUAUCAACACUAUUGUGCUGAAAACCAAAAGUAGUCACACUGGUGUCAAAUCUCUCAUGCCACUGUUUGGGAGCUUGCUUCAACCCCUACAAGGAUUUAACAAGUCUACACACUUUGUUUUCUUUUCUAGGUAUCACAAAACCAUUAGGUUGCUCUAAGUAAAUCUCCUUAUUGAGAUAACCAUUUAGAAAGGCUGUCUUCACAUCCAUUGAUGAAUGCACAAUCCUUUCAAAGCUGAAAUUGCUAUGAGAGUUCUAAUAGAAGUAAUCCUAGCAAUGGGGGCAUAGGUAUCAAAAUAAUCGAUACCUUUUCCCUGCCUAUAGCCCUUAAAAACUAAUCUUGCUUUAUAGGCAGAUAUGGAUCCAUCUGGAUGAUACUUUCUCUUGAAUAUCCGUUUGGAUCCUAUGGGUUUUCUCCCGUUGGGUAGAUCAGGUAACUCCCAAGUUCCAUUACCCAUGAUUGAAUCCAUUUCAUCAUUGAUGGCUUCCUUCCACAAAAGGAGCAUCUCUAGACGUCAUGGCUUCAGUAAAGGUCUUAGGAUCAUCAUCCAAAUUAAUGGUAAAGAUGACCUCUCUCGUCACUUUCUUUUGUGUUCCUUCGACCAAAUAAGAAUAUAAAACGUCUCCAAAACUUUUCUCUAUUGUAGCCCUAGUACUUCUCCUUGGUUCCUCUACAAAAGGAGGAUGUGGGAGUAUUUCUCGAGAAGUACUUGUAGGUGUUGUAUGACUGGAGUUUUCUUCAUCCCUAGAAAACUUGUCCUCAAAGAAUUCCACAUCAAUACCUGAUUCAAUAUCUAAUAACCGAUAAGCCUUGCUAUUGUGAGCAUAUCCAAUAAAUAUACUCUUAUUAUCUUGUGCUCCUAAUUUGGUUCGCUUAGGAUCGGGAGUCCGAUAGUAAGCAACACACCCCCACACUUUCAAAUAGUCUAGGUUAGGCUUUCUACCUUUCUACAACUCAUAAGGGCUUGUAGGAAUCACACGACUAGUGAUCCUAUUAUGAACAUAGCAAACAGUCAAUAGUGCUUCCCCCCACAAAUUGUUUAGUUGACCCGAUUGGUUCAACAUAAGGUUGACCAUCUCACAAAGGGUUCGGUUCUUUCUUUCAGCCAAACCAUUAUGUUGGGGAGUAUAUGGUGGAGUUCUCUCAUGUAUGAUUCUGUUCUCUUCACAGAAUAUAUCAAACUCUUGGUUGAAAUAUUCCCCGCCCUAUCCAAGCGAAGAAUUUUGAUGUGUCUUUCAAGUUGAUUUUCGACCUCAGCCUUAUAUCGCUUAAAUGCAUCAAAAGCUUCAUCUUUUGAUCUCAGCAAACAAACAUGUAGAUAUCGACUGAAGUCAUCACAUAAUGUGAUAAAAUACCUUUUUACUCCUCGAGUAAGGAUUCCAUUUAAUUCACAGAUAUCAUAAUGAGUCAACUCAAGCAAUGAUGUGUUUCUCUUAACUAAUGGGAAUGGUUUCUUAGUGAACUUUGAUUUCACACAUGUUUCACAUUUUUUGAAAUCUUUUUUGUCAUAUUUUAACAUUCCUUUAGUUUGCAUCUUUUCAAUAUUUUUAGCAUUAGUAUGUGCUAAACGUUUAUGCCAUAAAGAAAUUGAACAAACAAAAUAACCAGGAAAGUUCACUUGCAACACGAGAACCACCAAUCUCAACACUAGGACCACUCAUACUACCCUCAUCACUAAGGCACAAACGAUACAUCCCUGCACAAUUGUUCUCCCUCCCAACAUAUCUUCUACCUUUAGUGAUUGCAAUUUUGCCUCAUUCAAGAACCAUCUUGAACCCACCUUUGUCAAACUUGUCCGUAGAAACCAAUCCCUUCGAGAUAGUAGGAAUGUGAAGAACAUCUCAACGGGUUACCCAUUCACCACAAGUGAACUUCAAACAGACAUCACCUCUUUCUUGAACUUCGGCUCUGUGGCCAUCAACACAGACGACGACUGUCCCAGGUGGCAUUGGGUGGUAAGUGCAGAAGUUUUCUCAUUGCCCACAAACAUGCGUAGUGGCUCUAGUAUCCAAGAACCAUCAUUGAGCACCGAUUUCUCGGGUAAGGGGGUACAUCAUAAAAAUCUCUCCAAGGUUCACAAUUGCCACCAUGUCAGUCACCUGCUCAACAACAUGUGCUACCGAUCCUGAUUUGCGAUCCUUGCAUUCUCUCGCAUAGUACCCAAUCUGUCUGCAGAUGUGGCAAGGUCCGACCCUAUUUGGCUUUGAGUUAAGAUUCUGAUGACCUGAUUUCUUGAAGUUUUGUUUCUUAGGUCCCAAGUUCUUCUUGUUUUGUCCCCAAGACUUGGCUUUGUGACUAGAACCCCCAGCUAACACGUGAUGCAUACUCUAUCUGACUUUACCAUGCUUGCCCCUGAUGCGAGUUUCCUCCUCAAUGUAGAGGUGUUUCAUCAUAUCAUCCAAGGAGUAGUCCUCAGAUUUAUGCAUCAUUCUCUUAGAGAAAUCUUUCCACGAGGGUGGUAGUUUUGUGAUAAUCGCACCAACCUGAAAGAGUUCUGGAAUAGAGAUGGAGAGUGCGUUCAACUUGUUGACCAUGACUUGGAGUUCAUGCACUUGCUCCAUAGCUCUCUUGGAUCUUGGACCAGCACGUAAAGAUCAUAGAGCCGAUCAGAUAGGGAGUUCUUGAUGUGACCCACACACAGUUCUUCAGACUCUCUAUGCUGAGUCUUGCUUUUCUAGUCCUACGAUGACCGCUGGGUCCACAGUUUUCCCCUCCUCGGGAAUUGGAUUAGUAGGAAUUGGUGUCAGUUCUGGGUCCAACAAAAAUGCGAGCUUCAAAACAUGAAGCAUGAACUUGACAUUCUCAGCUCAACGGGUGUAGUUCUGACCAUCAAACUGAUCAAGUUUGGCAAACUCUUGGUUCAUGAGGUGGAGGCUAGUAGUAGUGUCCAUUAGUCUGUCGAUUUAUCAUAAUAAAAAACCUUUAAGAAUGUUGUAAAUCAAACUAAUAGGCGUGCAAGGAAACGACAAAUAAUAUUGAAAAUUACAUGUCGAUUAGUUGCGAAUAAUAGAUCCAAUUAUUAUUAAUAUAUUUACCAAGUUUGGUUCAGAAACCAGAUCUACCCUUCUCGAUUAGAUCUGAUUAUAAGAAAGGUAGAAGAAGACUGUCCUGUUGCUGGAUGAAAGUAAAUGCAAGACAGAAAAGUAAAAUGGAUCUGUCGAUGACUAAUCUUGAACUUCAAAUAACUAUACGGAUCGGACUCCUGUCCUUAAAGGUUUUUACUUCGCUUCUACUGGUUGUAAGCAACAGAGUAAAACCCAAGGAUAUAAUGCAGAUCUAUCUAUUUUCCAACAAUACUGAAGAUCGAUAGACACAAAGCGAAUACUCGAAAAAAGGAAGAAAAACGCAAGCGAAUACUUGAAAAAAGGAAGAAAAACGCAGAGAGUGGGAAAGAGCUUCAAUUUUUUGUAAGAGGUUAAUAUGGUUUCCAAGGGAGCAAUAUUUAUAAGUAUUGAAACCCUAGAAGACAUGAACCCUCACAAGGGAAUAAGCUUAUAAAGCCAUAAAAGUUUCUUCCACUCACCAAUAUGGGAUACAAAGGAAAUUGCCAACUUGCAAUUCAUUUAUAUAUAUAUAUAUAUAAAGUUCCAACACAAAUAAGGCAUAAAGAAUAAGGAACAUCAAUAUCCCGGUCUACCAAAUUUGUGUGAGUAGGAAUCAUAUACAUAUGAACUCUCCAUAUAAGAGUACUUACUUUUUUUGUCAAGAAAAAAUUCCAUCUAGUUUCCACCCCCUGAGUUAGGAUGUGUCAACUCAACAAUCCAUCUUCUAGUGCCGGUUAGUGAAAUUUCCAUCUAUACCAAAAUCUCACCACCAUCUAUCAUGUAGAUCUUAAAAGAACCACUUCUUGAAGGCAGCUAAGAAAUUCAUUAAAUUGCCUAAGUUCCUCAUCGAUAUUAAUCUGAUGCCUCCGAUUCCAACUCCAGACCCCAUCUACAAAUCUAUCAGCAAUUGAACAAUCUUUAUCAAGUUCCAACCGGAACAAUCUUGGAAAUGACAAGAAGGCACUUGAUUAUCAACCCAAUUAUGAUACCAAAACAUAGUAUACAUACCAUUACCAAAUUUUCUUUUUAAUAUCGAGUUUACCUGCACUCCCAGUUUAUGAAGGCGAGAAAUCGAAGUCACAAUCCGAACCCAUGGUCCAGCCCGCAUGCUUCAAUUUUGAGAAAAAUUGAAGCCCCCAUUGACACCAUUUAAUUCCUUAACAACUUUGACCCAAAACAAAUUUUCAUGAGUAAAGAAUCUCAACCUCCAUUUUUGUAAAAGAUCAAAAUUAAAAGCAAUCAAACUGUGAAUACCAAGACCUCCUCAAGUUUUAUCCACAAGUUCUAUCUUUUAUAAGAUUGUUAUGUUUUCUUUCAUUCGAUAGCAUAUAUAAAAAUUCUAAACUUAAAGUCAAUUAGUUUGCUUGAUUACAGAACCUUAUGUUGGCUCUGAACUAUGUGCUAUUGUGUGUUUCGUGUUGAGCUACUUGCCAACUCCAAUAAUACAUGCAUUUAAAAAAUACACUGGUUUAUUUAUGUCAGUAUUUAUGAUCUGUUUGUUACCUUUCAUCGUAAGGAAUUUCAAUAUGAUCAUAUUUGUCAUAUAUGGUAACGAAAGGAGAAAUUAGUCGACGUAGUUUGAUGGAGUCUUUUCAAAUGAAGCUUUUUGGUUUUAUUUUCUUUUUGUGAUAAGUCAUGAUACGAAAACGCACUAAGCCAACCAUUAUGUUUAAUCAUCAUAAGCACCUUAAGAUAAGAUAUUUGCAAUUAAUUAUAUUUAUAGUAUUUUUACAACGUGCGUUCGGUACGGAACGUUUGAGAGAGUUUUAGAAGUUUUGCUUUCUGGCAUAUGAUAAAACCCUAGAUUUUGAAGAAAACACCCCAAAUACAAAUGCAAAAGCUAGUUUAGAUAGCGUUUAACAAAACGAUACAUGCUGUCGGCUACCGGCUACAUGCUAACGGUCAACCGUUACCGCUACCCGUUAUAUGCUACCAGUUAGUUUACCAAAUACGCCCUAACUCAUAUAGUCAGUUAACUCAAGUUUAACUAGAUGGUGUUAAUAUAAGUUCGAACCUAUUUCGGUAGAAAUACCGAACACGCCCUAACUCAUAUAGUCAGUUAACUAGACGGUGUCAAUAUAUUUGUUGUGGUUUAAAAAACUAGAUUAUGACCCGCGUUAAACGCGGGGAACACAUAAAUAAAAUACAAAUUUAUAUAGAUAUUACAAAAUAAUUAUAAAAAAACAGGGUUAUUGGUAUUAUUGAAAUCUGUAGAAAUUACACUAAAAUAGAUAAAUAUAUAUAACGUCGAAAGACCUUUUUAUAGACAAUAUUUUUUGUUUUAUUAGUUCAAUGACCUUGUUUGUCGCAUAUAAGUAUCUUCAAACAUUUUUACUUGUGACACGGAAAACAACUAUAUACAGCCAACCAUGCAUGAAAAUGGGUCUAAGCAAGUAUAAUCCAGCAUUUGACAAUGUAUUUUCAAAAUAUAUUGUUAUUUUAUAGCUACAUUGCGAAAUAUAACUGUUUAUUUCAAAAAAUAACAAGUUAUUUAUGUUCCUUCAAAAUGAACCACAUAAAACCUCCCACAAAGAAACUAUAACCAAUAAAUCUGCAACGAAACUAAUCAUCCCCUUCCACUUCAUCUCUAAUAUCAGGUCUUUUUUUUUCCUUAAUCUGAGUUGUUGUCAUUAUCAUCGACAAUGUUAAGAUUUAUUGAUGACUUCUUUUUUAUUUUAGGGAUAACUAUGACAUAAAUCGUUUAUCAGGUCCAUCAUUUAUGUUUAUAUCUUCGUUGUUUUUUUGUUGAUUUUGAUAUGCCUUCUUCGGUUUACCACCAUCUUUAUUUUUUUUCAGAAUCCUUUUUUUAUGAAAUAACAUUUUUUUUGUGAAAUUCGUUCUACAGUUUUUAGUAUGUGUAGGUACGUUGAUUUCUUAGAAGUAAAGAAAGUAAGGUUUUUGUUCGAUGUUGGUUCCUAGGUUUGGUUCUUAUUUUUUGUGAUUUCUCAUAAUCCAUUGCGUUUUAUUUUCCAUCUUUAUCUACAAUCUUUUAAGUAUAGAACAUUUUAUUCAUAUAUUCAUUCACUACAGAGUUUAAUAAAGGAAAAAAGAAACACCCCCUUAGUUUUAUUUACUUUGCAGAUCAUCGAGCCUCCAUGCAAAGCUUACAACAUAAUGAAAAAAAAAACAAAAAACCCUUAUGAGGUCAAUGCCAAUUACGAUUCUAACCAUUUUCCUCUUGUAACAAUUGUCUCACUUUAAUACUUCAAAACAUCUGUUUUUGUGUUUAAACAUAUUAUUGAUAGCAUGAAGGAUCCAAGCAUUGUUGCAUUUUGGUUAAUCAUAAUGCCUCAAAUUAUGGGAGGAUGUAAAGAUGAUGAUGAGGUCAAACAUAUAAUAUGAUGAUAAUAGAAGGUUCGUCUUCUUCUUAUUUAUUUAUUAACUUAUUUUUUAAUUCAACUUUAUUACAAAAUUAAAAAGCUUUUUUUUAUUGAUAUUAGAGUUUCUUAUUUAGAAAAAUAUGCGCUAUGAUCAGCUUCUUGAUGCUAUAGCUAUGAGAAAACUUGGAUGAGCAGGAAGUGAGAUAAAUUUAUAAUUUAUUAACUUUAAUGAGUAAUUAACUAAUUACAAUUUUGUUAUUGAAUUUGAAAUACAACAGGGAUUAUAUCAAUGAAUCCUGAACGUGCAAGAAAUGAUCCAGUAGUAGCAAAGAACAUUCGUUACUAUAAAGCAAAGAGCAAAUUAGAGGCAGAAGUGAUGAAGCUCUAUCCACCACCAUGAUCUCAAAUCUAUGUGUGUGUCUGGGGGGUGGUGGGGGGUCAGUAUAAACAAAAGUUUUUUCAUUUAUUUUUAGUAAUUUACAAAUUUGAUCCCUUUGUUUAGUUGUCGGUUUUGGUCCCUAAAAGAAUCAAGUUGUAGUUUUUGGACCUUGUUUCACUGUUUCAUAAAACUUUUAUGAUUGCCUAAGUUAACAGUCUAACUGUUAUUUUUUUUAAAUGACCAUUUUGCCUUUGAACCAAAACUAAAAACCAUAUAGCAUAACAACAAAAUUUAUAUUUUUCUUUUCUUUUUUUUUCUUUUUUUACUUAAGUUUAGAGUAAAUUACAUUUUUGGUCCUUGAGUAUACCUGAUUUUUUUUUUUCAAAAGAUUAUAAGGGUGUUUUUGGUGUUUCAGGGUCAAAUGCUGACUCUAGUUUAGUACACACUUCUAUUAUACCGUGCAUUCUUACCUGCCCAUGUAUGGUACCGAUUCUUUUUUAACAAAGAAUACGAGUGCUUAUUUUCAUCAUUCACAAGAUGUUUAUAUUUAACUUUAAAGCUCAUAUUAAUUGUUGAGAAGGUAUAUUUCUUAUUGUUAUUCUNAUUGCGUAUCAUUAACACGCACGUCGUAAGGUUACGACACGCGAAUGCGUGUUAUCUUCCUUUAUGUCAGGGCCUUCCUUGAUACGCAUUGCCUGUCGUAAAGGCGCGUCGUAAAUGAGCGUCGUCUAUAGACGACGCGCAAAAGUGCGUCGUCUCUCUUUAUGACAGGGCCUUCCUUGACGCGCAUUUGCGCGUCGUCUGAGCCAUUUACGACGCGCAAUGAGCGUCGUAAAAGGCUGUUUUUCUAGUAGUGAUAAAAAACAACAUUAUAUAUCCAAAUUAUAAGUAUUCAACAAAGAAACAUACGAAUAAGUAAAAACAUAUAAAUUCAAAAACAAUAUCAAAUUUAUAGAUUAAAAGGAUUUAACGAAGAAGUACAUACAUUUAUUCGACUAAUCCGACUGAUUGGAAGGUUGAAGUUUUUUUUGCAUUUGUUUUCUGCGGAGGAUUUAUGACAUAAUGUUUGUGUAAAUCUACCCUAAUAAAUAAGAAUGGUUUUGCCACAUGUCAUUCUCUCAUUCAAUUGGCCACAUGUCAUUUUGUCAUAAUUUUGAGAUAUAUUUAUUUUCCACUUGUCAUUUACUUCAUUUUUUAUUUCCAAUAUAUCAUUAAUAUAACUUCCAUAAAUUAAACCUACCAUAAUGACUGUUAAUUUCAAAUUUCAAAUUCUAAAUUUUAAUUUCAAUUUCAAAUAAAUUUACAAUUUAAACCUUUGUGUUUAGCAUUUUUUUUAUAAUUACCCGUUUAGUACACAAAUUUGAUAACUAAACACAUAAUUUUAAUUUAUUUAUUUUUUUGCAUGUUUUUUCUCAUAAUUUUCAGUUAUCUCAAAAUUCAAAUUCAAAUAAAUUUUCCAUUUAAUCAUUUAUAUUAACAUUUUGUUUAAUCAACCCGUAUAAUAUACGGGUCUCACACCUAGUCGAUUAUUAAAAAGGUUUGAAAUAUAUAUACAAGUCAAUAUGAUGAAAAUUAGUAGGUAAUCAAUUGAAAUCUCAUUUAAACUUAAAAUAAAAGAUAUCAUGCUUGAAAGUGUAUUGGUUCAUAAUAAUAUCUAAAACUUUCGAAAUUUGAAAUUAAUAGUUUCCGAGAUUUCAACAUAUAAUAUAUUUGGAAAGCAAUUUUGAAUGCAAAUAAAACCUAAAUUUAAGGUUUACAUUAAUAACGAACCAAUUUUGUAGUUGUAAGUUUGGAAAGAAUUCAAGUAUCAUUUUCAUUCAAUUCCUACAUUUUAUUUCCUAAUAUAACAGGUUGACUUCUUGUUUGAUCAAGAUGACGUAAGCAAAUUGAUCUAAGGGUGUAAAAGUUAUAAAAAAAAACACAAUCAACGACUCAAAUUGUUUUAGAUGAUGUCAUAAAAUUUCUCUUUUAAUAAUAUUUAGAGAUAAAAGAAUUCAUCCAAAAUAUAUACGGUGUAUGUUUGUAUCAAAAAAUUUCAAGGUACUUAAUCGAGAUGCGUAGUUAUUAAUUAUUAGUACAAAAUCGUUUCUUGUUCAUCUUUAACAUUAAGAUAUAAAAGUAGACUUUAAAAGAUACGUUCAAAUAUUUACACAACAACUAUAUGGGCACAAUAUUGUUUAAUGAUAUAUAGUAUUGUAAAAGAAAACCUGCUAGAUUAGGUAAUAAUAACUAAUAUAUAAUGAUUAAAAAGUAGCAAAUUUAAUUUUGGUUAGGACUUUGUCAAAAAUCAACAUAGCAUAAAUACAAAAACAUUGAAAAUGACACUUUUUUGUAUUCACAUUUUAGUGAAGACAACAGAUCGAUUUCUCCUUCUAACUUUAUCACAUAUAUACAUUAUAUUAAUUUUGAAUUUUUGCGAAAAAAUAAAUUCUUAAAAAUUACCACCUAAUUUUAUACCACGCAGACCGAUACAAAUAAAUUUCUGCUACCAACAAAUGUGUAUUUUUUUUAUCUAUAGCAAAUAUUUUUAAAAAAAUAUCUUUUUGAUAACCAAUUUGAAAUGUUUAAAAUCGUGGAUUUGUAGCUAACACUCAUAAAUAAGAUCUUGAAAAACUUUUAAGAUGCAUGAUUUUAUGAAAGGCUUCGUGCCCAUGCAACAUGACAUAAUAUUGAGUAAAACUCAAUUACCUAGUUCUAGUGAUGAACAAGAAAAGAUGAGUUGAGUCACAUAUGUUUCUACCAUACCAACGAUCAUGUAUGUCAUGGUAUGUACUCGAUCUGCUGCUCAUAUGCCUUGAGCAUAACGAGUCGUGUCAUGCCAACCUAAUCGAAAAUCAUUAGAUCAGGGUCGAGAACAUUCUCAUGUAUCCUAAUAGGACAAAAGUUUUGUUCUUGGUCUAUGGUGGUAUGGAAGAGCAAAGUGGAAAGGGUUAGCUGAGUAGAGGAGCAGUGACUUGGAAGAGUUCAUGUUGGGAUAACAAUAAAACAAGUUAUGCACUUCAGACAAAUGUCAAACAAACUUUGGUGUAAGUUGCAAAAUAAAACUUCCAAAAUCUUAAAUCAAAUCCGAACACAAUAUCUAACGUGUUUCGAUCAAUGUGACCUACGCCCACAUGCGAAUGAGAGAUAAUAUUUUAUUAACUUUCUGUAACUAUUACAAACACUUUAUUUUGUAUCUCAAUUUUAUCUCUCAUUGAAAACUAGCAAAUAAAAAUGAUGGGGAUAUAAACAUAUUUAUUGGUAAGAAUGGGAAACCCUAAUUCUAAUGGUUCAAGCGCACAAAGGGGUGCCCUAAUUUCCAUACAGAAUGUCAUGCAGGCAUUUCUAGAACCUUCAACCUCAUGAGCACCAACUAUAUACAUUAUAGGGCAUCAAGAGCCAUAAUGGAGCAUCACCAACCAUCUUGAUGAUGCAUUAAGGCAUAUAAAGCAUCCAUCUUGAUCAUCCAUGGAUAAUAUUGAGCAUCCUAACAAAUCAUGCACCUAAAUGGUGCAUCAAGAGCCAUGAAGGCUCACCAUGAACCUUGAUGGCACAUAAUGCUCCUUGAUGGCGCAUCUUUGUUCCUGUAUGGCACAUCCUUACUCCUAGAUGGUGCAUCCUGAAUCCUAGAUGGCACAUCCUUGCUUGAUGAUCAUCUCCAACACCUUAACACUCCCGAAACGCAUCAAGGCAGACAAGGGUGGCACGCCUAGUAGCAAAGUGGUGCAGCUUGAUCAUAGGUGGCACGCCUUAUGCGUGGAUGGUACACCUUGUGCCAAAGGUGGCACACAUUGUAACAAAGGUAGGGCACCUUACGUAAUAGUGGCACAUCACUAAUGCCUUAUUCUGUAUGAUUAGUGUAUAUAUCCAUAACUAUAAUUGGUAUGUACUUGACCCGAGAGUAGCAUGGUCCAUUUGGGUUACAUGGCACAAGAACAAUCUAAAGGAUGGAUAACUGAGAAGAGGUUAUUGAUGGUGUAUUAAUAUACAUGGUUGUAGAGCUCACUACUCGGUACCUACUCGACCGACUACCGAGUAGCGAGUACUCGGGAGUACUCGGGGAGUACUCGGAUUCGGUAACUCAUAUAGAAAUAUUUUUAGGAAAUUAUAUCUGUCAAAAUCAUAAGUUAAACAAUAAUUUGAAUGAAAUAUAUAACAAAAUUAGAUACAUGUGAAUACACAAAAACUAAAAAAACACACUAUGAUCCCACUUCGUGAAUAAUUAUUAAAGAUUUAAGAUAUAUAUGUAGUAAUAAUCACAUAUGUGUGUGUUAGAUAAUAAGUCAUUAAGUAUACUAUACAUAUUAAUCACCGAGUUGGCCGAGUUUUACAAUAGUGCUCGCUUCAAUAAGGGGCAGAUCAGGGAGUACUCGAAUUUUGUGACUCGCCUAAGUAAGGGGCUGAGUAGCGAGUACUCGGACAAGUACUCGGGCAAAUUGGUGAGUUUUACUACACUCUCAAUAUAUUAUAAGUUCUAAUAUAUUAAUAUGAAAUCAUAUUAUUUAAUUAGUAUUGAUCAAGAAUUAAUUUGGAAUUAAUUUGGUGAUCAAAAGAGACUAUUUAAAUAGAUGAGGAUUGAUUAUGUAAAUCAUUAAUUCUUAUAAUGUGGGCUUAUGAUCCAUAGUUCUUUAUGUUGAGCUAAACCCAUAUGGUGACCUAUGGAUGAUCCAUGGAGGCUUAAACCCAUGGACCAUGAGGAAUAUGGAAGGUCAUGCACAUUAUGGUUUGCAUGGUGUAACACUAAUUAAGCCACACUAUAUAAGAACCUCUCUAGCUCAUGAAAUCGACACUUAAGUGAUAUACAAGAGAGCUAACCGAUUUUAAGAGUGGAAGUAACCUUCUCUCAAGUUCCUCCAUUGUUGGUGGUGUUGUGUGGUUCCAUUUGAGGUGCAACACUUAGGGCACUAAGUUCUUAAAGGAUUAAGGAAUCAAGCUACAAGAAAAAGUAUGUCAUUCUACUAGAUUUUUGUAUUACAUAUACUUCAUGGUAUGCUAGUUAGGAUGAAACCUUGGAAAAUGAAAGUUUGCAUUUAUAAUAGAGAAAACAUAGAUCGAAGGUUUCUAGGGUUGCGUGCGUACCUUAGGAGUGUUAGAAUGCUCAAAACCAUUCAGUGGUAUCAGAGACUAGGCUUGUUUUCCAUUAUACUUGAUGCUAGUUGUUUUUCAAUGUUAGAAAAUUUGGCAUUUUUUGCAUAUGACUGCUCACUACGACGUGGCAGCUUUUACCACGAUGUGGUGAUGCUUGUGGAUGCAGAAUUUCGAGUUUUAAGGCUGGAAUUGGACUAGGAUCAUUACCCUAAAUUGCUUCUUAUAAACCUGUAUUUUGAUAUGCUAAUGAUCAUGCUUAUCCAAUAUAAAAGAUAAUUGUCAAAGUUUCAUGUUUUGUAUUAGUUUAUAUGAUUAGGCUAAUUACAUGAAAUGUGUUUGUAAUGAAUUGUCUUGUUCUUAUGAGUUUAAUUUAGAUCCUAGGCAAAUUGUGUGUUUUUCCUUAUUAUAUUUUUUUUUAUCUGAAUGGUUUUGACAAAUUCCAUAACUUGUCCUCAAUUUACGGAAAAUGAAAAGUUUUCUUUUCAAUAGAUCAUUAAUAUCAUAGGUUAUGAACAUGAAGAGUCUUUUCCCCAUAAAUGCUUUUAUGAACUCCAUAACUUGUCCUCAAGUUAUGGAAUGUCAAGAGUCUUUUUAUAAAACCUAUAUUAAACUCAUUAGUUAUGGAUUCCAAAAGUUUUUGAAUAGUUCAAAACUUGCAUUCAAGUUUUGGAAUUUGUAAAUGCUAAGUCUUACUUUGAUACAUUUAGUUCCAAACCCUAGAAUUUUAAAAGUUUAAAAUUCAACCCUUAUAUUAUUAUAAUAUUAUAGGUUUAAUAUAUAUAUGUGACAAUCCGAUAUUUCGAGACAAUAUGAUGGAUCACAAGUCAGAUUUAAGUCAAAAUUUAACUUUCUUAAAAUCUUAUUUGGGUUAAAUAAGUAGUUGGAAUCGUAUCAAGGUUUUCAUACAUAUAAAGAACCCUAGAAUCCGAGUUAUAACGAAGAAGUUAUGACCAACCGAAGAUUCUCGGCAAAACCAGCAACACUGAUAGACGUAAAACGCGAGGUUUCAAUACAAUAAUUAUUAGCCUUAGGUAUCUAAAUGAAAGUUUAAGAUACCAUUAAACCGUAAACGUACAUAAAAAGAACGUCCAAAUCUGACUUCGUAUGUGGAAGCUAUGAUUUUUCUAAGUUACGGAUAUAGUAGUAGACAGCUAAAAAAUCGAAAUAGAGAUCGAGAGACUUUUAGCUGACACAAACUAAAUGAGAAUCGAAGGUCUCAACAAUAGAAGCGCAACGGUAAAAAUUUUGAUGGGAAUGGACGUCGGAUGAAGAAGUUAUGGAACUUUAACGGACUUUUCCUGCCCCGACCUAUUAAAAUAUAAUAUUAAAAAUAAAUUCAAGAUUUGCCGACAGAGUCUAAACGAAAGUUGUAGAUCGUAGUCUCACCUUCGCGUCGAUAUAAAGAACGUCGAAAACGGAGUUUGUAUGAGAAAGAUAUGAAUUUUUGAAGUUUACUAAAUAAUUAAAAUAUAAAUUAAAUUCAAAAUCCGGUAUUAUCCGAAGGAGGAGUCAUCGGACCAAUCCAGGUUACGCCCAGCGUACUCGGAUACUCGACCUCAAUCCGUCCACGUCGCUUCGAUACUUUGUCCGAGGAUGCAGUAAGCCAUGAUGUUGCGUACGCCCAGCGUACCCUCGUUAGUACGACCCGCGUACGCGAGGCUUUCAGCCCCUAUAAAAGGGAUGCGAGGGUGCCGGCCAUCUUUGCUCGUUUCCUUCCUUUCUCGCGUCGAUGCUCUGUGUUUCAACCCUCGGAGCCAUCCCAAAGUCCCGGUUUUCAUAUCCAAGUUGGGAAGGAAGUUUUAAGCUCUCAAGAAUCCCGAGAAAUCCGCUUGCUUGAGUAGAAGUUUUGCUCGGUUUUCGUCUCGCUUUCUUCAAUCUAUCAAAUGAGUUCAUACCCCUAUAAUCCACACUUUUAAAUGUUUUAUAAAUGCUUUUAUAUUCUUUUAAGGGGGGGGGGAAUACAAGUAAAACACACGAUUAUUAUCGUGUGUUAUAUAAAGUUUCAUUAUACGCUUUUUAUCAACAGAAUCAUAAGUGAUUUAUAACUAUUAUAGGGAAACUUUCGUAUGUAAAAUAUAUCCCGAUAACAUCUUAUCUUUUGAAAUGAAAAAUGUUGUUAUAUAUGUAUAAAUCAAACACUCUGCUUACACUGUAUGUAUAUGUGUCCAUCUUAGGCACUACAAAAAUUAUACUUUUCAUAACAAGUGAGCAUUUCACUAGGGAUUACUAUACAAACGAGACACACUUUUAGAAAACUAUAAUAAGUAUAGUUUUACGAGAACAUCAAGAACUUUUUCAUACUAGAAAUACUAUUUCAAGGAGAUACAUUCAUAUACAAGAACAAACGAACAUUUUCAUAUGUACUUCAAUUAGUUUUCACAAACCUUUUUACAUGUUAAAACACUUUUAGAAACUGUCUUACAAAUUGUAGGUUUCCUUUUUGAAUCUGUUAUAGUUGUGCUUCAAACCAAGGUUUUCUCACACUUAAACUGUCUUGUCAAACGGUUUUCGAUUCGAUUUAUAAACUAACAUCAAGUCAUAAAUUCUUAUUAAUUAAACUUUUCAAAGGUCUUACAAAACUUCUUUUAUACUUUUAUAUUAUAAAUUGCAUGCCUCUAUAUGUAUAGUUAUAUAAGAAAUGUUUAAAAGACUUAGGAAGGCUAUCCACCCUGUUUCCUUUUCCUCGAUUUGGAUGUGGUCUGGUGGGAUAUCGGGUACCCAUCCGAAGCUCGUUUAAAUAUUAGUUAUAUAUCAUGUGUACAUAUAUAGUCAUAAAUGUUCCAUCAGUUAAUUCAGUUCCGACACUCUUGGGUAGCAAGGGUGUAUAAACCUACUUCGACACUCAUCAAUUACAUUCUAGUAAACUAUUAUAGGAAUAGUUUAGUAGAUACAAAACAUUAUACCUAUUACAAGAAAUUACACCAGAUUCAGUUCAUUCAUGAUCUAAACUACAUGCUAUAUGAAGGGAUACUCUUACAGAGAUUCCUCUUACAUGGAUACACUUAUAGGGAUACUUUUACAUUGAUACUAUAUGAUAAGAAACUAUAAGGGACUAACCAUUCCUAAACCCGGCUGUUAGCAACAGAGGUAAAUGGAUAUCUACGGAUGUCUACGGUUGAUACCGUUACAGGUAUACUUACCGGACUAACCAUUCCGGAAGCCACCUGUUAGCAACAGAGGUAAUGAACAUCUACUGAUGCCUACGGUUAAUACUUAUACUAGGGAGACCUUUACGAGACUAACCAUUCCUUCAACCUGCUGUUAGCUACAGAGGAAAAUGAACAUCUACGGAUAAUCAAGGAGAAUAUGUUUCGGCAGUCGCGAUGUCGUGUUUAUCCUAAUACAAAAGGAGAAUACUUAUAUGGCUAUAUCCCUAUUACUUUUAUUUUGUGAUAAAUUCAUGUAAACGAUGAGGUAGACUAUAUAUUGUUAAUAGUAGUCAUAAAGGGGAAAACCAUCUUUGUUAUAGCAAAACAUACAAGUCUUGAUAGAGGACUACCUUCAAAACAAUCAGGUCUUGGUUAAAGACUAUUUUCAAAACAUUCCGGUCUUGGUAGAAGACUACUUUUUAUACUAAUAGAAAAUAUGGGAUUUUCUAGGAGUUUUUUUCAAAACAUAUACAAACAAUUACAUUGAACGAUUUCAAAUGUUAUCAUCAAACUUAUACGAACAAUGACAUUAAAUACUUAUGAACUCACCAGCUUAAAUGCUGACCUACACUUUCAAAAUAACUUGUAUUCUCAGGUCACCAAUAGACAGGUACGAUGACCAGGUUUUGCGAAGACGGAGUAGUCAAGACUCGUCUUUUAUUUUGAUUACUUGUUGUAAUGUCUUAUUACUAUGAAAGAACACACAUGUAUUAAACUAUUACUAUUAAUGCAAUGGAUGAUGUUGUUGCCUGUAUACUACUUCACAUUGUUGUGAUACAUACAUGACGUCCGCUGCCCUAGAACGUUUCCGCCGUUCUCAGUUUUGGGGUGUGNAUAUAUAUAUAUAUAUAUAAGAGUAAAGUCAGUGUUACCGUUAGUAGGUCUCAUUCACGAAGUUAGCCAAACGGUUUUGACAUGACAUUUAAAUUCUCAUUAAUAGUAUAAUGAAAUACCAAGUAACUAAACACUUAUAAAUUCCCAAAUCUUAGUUACUUAGGAAAAUGUGAAUAUGGUGCUAACCCAUGAAAUUGCACUUUGCACCUUGUUAAAUCCUUAGUAGAGCGUGUGUGGUUAACCGGGACAUUAAUAUGGACUGACAGUGCGUGGAAAAGGGUAGCUUGAUGUUUAUCAUAGAUCAAUGGAGCAUGUGUGGUUAACCGACACAAUGAUUAGGUGGUUGUAUCAUUGGCUGUAGCAAGCUAAUUUUCAAGGUUAUUCACACCUUGUUUGUGAUCCUCGGCAUCCCAGUCACAAACUUGAAGGGAGGAAUCGAGAUUUAAACAUGUCAUUGAAAGUUUCAAUGGAUCACAAAGGAUCUAGGAAUUUCAAUUCACUGAAAACCUAAAAUUCUUUUUCGUUUUUGGUGUUGGAGAUUGGUAAAUCGUCAUUUACCUACCUUCAAAUAUUCUGCAUUUUCCAUUACAGCAUCCCUCUUCCAAAAUAGUAAAAUAUUAUGUUGGGUCCUAGCCUUAAUAUUUCGUGUUGGGUGUUAUAUUAAGGACUUAAGUCAUCUGACUUGAAUUUCUCUAAAUGUAGAUGUCUAGUUUAGACAACUAUGGUCUUCUCGAAUCUUUUGAAAAAAAACUUUCUUUAUAAAGAGGAUUUUCCAAAAGGCAAUCAAGGUGAAACAUUAACCCCUUCUUCAUGCUAUAGUGGAACUUCACUUCCUCCACCUUCUCCAAUAAUUCUCCUUAACCCACAAGUUCUAAGUCACUCAAAGCCCUAUUGGCAGGGAGGAAAGUUUGUAUGUGCUCACGUCUUGGUGAUGAAGUUACAUAUUGACAAGUUGGGACAGUUUGGUCUCUAAGUCUCAAGGAAGUUGGUUGUUGACUGGGUUCUUCAAUAACUUCCGGAGUCAUAUAGUGAGUUUAUUAAGGACUACUAUGUGACAGACCACAACAUGAACCAUGUUGAUCUAACAUAUUUGCUAGUUGAUGCUGAAUCAACAAUGAUUUGGCGCACUGUUAAAGAAUUUUUUUUUGGAAGAUCUACUCCCCAAACUUCCAUGGACAUUGACAAUGGCAACAUUGGAUGUCCAGAAAAGCUUUUUCUUUCCAAAGGAAAGGGAUCGACCAUGGUCAAGUCAUUUGACCAAAUGGUAAAGAGAAAGGCUAGGUCUGAGAUAGUCAUGUGUACCAUUCCUAAAGUGUCCAUAUGUUUCUAUUGCCAAUAAAAGGGGCAUUGGUUGCGAAGCUGCCCUGACUACCUGAAAGAUCUGAGAAAAGGUAGAAUCGAAAUGUUUGACUCCGCUUCGAGUAAAUCUACUAUCUAACUCUAUUAAGUUCAUAAUUGUUGAUUCUUAACACAUGAUGUGACAAGGUUGCAUUUUGAUGUUUUGUAGGAUCAUGUAAAGGGAAGGAAGCUUAAAGGAAGAGUAUUCAGAAUCUGGUCGCAAAGAUGGAUUUCAAUUGCAUGGUUCGAUGAUCGGAUUUUUGAGUUGCUGCUUAAAAGUUGUGAUAGAUUGCUUAGAAAUAUGUAGUAACAUAGUUUUCAUUUGUAAUUGCAUUUUAAGGAAAAGUUUUCCCUCAUAUUUUAAAAUAAAUAAAAUUUUGUUUUAUUACAUCUCCUUGCAAUAGCAUUAGUGAAAAUUUAUGUUUGUAUGUGUCUAUGUUAGGAAUAUGGAUUUGAUUCUUUCGUUUGCGGUAGUGUGAAAGUUUACCAAAUAAGGAAAGAUUCUCAUCACACAAGUUUCAGUUGGAUAGAAACUUGGAAUCAUGCAACUUGUAGUGUGUGAUGGAUGAGAACCUUCAUCUUUGGGAAAUUAAGACUAAUUCCUUGUUCAGAUGAAUAUGUGAGUUAAGUGAAGGACUAGGGAUCGGGUACGCUGGGUGUGCACUAGUCAAGAUCCACCACAAAGAUCGAUAAAAUUGUUCGUCAUGGUUUACUAAAGUUUGGUAAAUAUGGUUAUGCUUACAAGUUUAAGUAUAUUUCUGAAAUAUUAGAAAAAGUUCAAUGUAUGGCAGAAUGAAUAAGAAGAAUCAAACUAGGUAGAAAGAUAAAAGUUUCUCCAAUCUGAAAAGUUGGGAGAGUACUUGAGUAUCAUGUUUUAUGACCAUCUUAAUGAUUAUGGAAAACCAUAUCACAAUUGAUCCUCUAAAGAUACCUUAGUGCAUUUGUAUGGCUAAGACGAGGUAUCGUGAAUUGUUGAAAUAGUUUAAAUCAAGAAGAUGAGUCAUACUUCGUUCCCAAAACAAGCCUUAGAGUCAUACUCCAAGAUUUUGCCUUGAGUGACAUUAAAUUAAGAAGGUUUAUAACACUUAACAAAUGUAGAGUAAAAUGGUUUUUGCUCAUUUACAUUUGAAAUUGGUAAGUUGUGAUGUCUUGGUAAGGACAAAGACCAACUAAGACCAAUUGUGUGAAGUCUUUAUCUUUAUAAGAAUCUGCACUAACUCUUGAAUAUUUGUUUGUCAAGGAAUGGUUCAUGAAAAGAGAAUCUUAUAUGUCAAGAGGUCAGUGGGAGUCUUAAAGAUCUAGACAAGUUUCAAGAACUAAUCAAGAAUAAACCUAAUGUUAAACACUAGCACAUGACUUGAGGUUUGUAACCUAUCGUGUUGCCAUAUUCUUGUUUCUGUGCCCGAUCCAGUUGGCUGACUAUGUAUGUGAGUUCUAUGAGUUCUCAGUUGUUUGCAUAACAACUUCGAAGCAAUGACAGACCCUUGUGCUUCCAGGUGACAAGAAAUUAAGAUUGAAAGAGUUCAGUCCAUAUGAGUUUGGAUUUUUCACUAACCAUGUCUUGUGAUUAUGGUUUUGACAAAUUCACAUGGAUAGGAACACAUACACCAUAAAAUCUAAGUGUCAUAAGGUUUCUCUCCAAUUCAUGAAAAUGAUUGUGAGAAAAUGCUUUGACAAAGUAAAUUUUAAGGAGAUAGCAAUUGUGAUAUUUGAAUUCUCCAAAUUCAAUUAUGGUUACGGCAUCCCUCUUAAUAAUUUGAAUCGUGAGAAAUGGAAAUGAGUCUAAAUAUUUGGAACUUAUUGUCGUAAGUUCUGAAUAGUUAAGACACACAUGUGACCUAUGUAAAGAAAGAUGUAUGCGUUUGAGAAGCCUAGAUAAAGUCUUAUCGAAACAUCUCGUAUCAAAAAUCUGAACCUUGGUAACAAAGUCAAUAAGUAUUGAUUUCUAGAAGUCCAACUGAUUUCUAAGUACAUGCCAAACCUAGUGGGAGCAUAAGUGUUAUGCUAGUAAGAUAAUUAUUUUCAUGCUAGUGGGAGCAUAAUUAUUAUGGUAAGUGUUGCAAGUUAGCAAUGUUAAUUAUAGAAAAAAAAGUUUCAAUUCGCAAAGUUGUGGGUUAGAAAAAGUUGUUUUUCUAUAAUUAAGGGAGAGAAAUUUAUACUUCAUUUCAAAAUCUAAAAGCUUAGAUUGAGGUUUCUAAUCAAAUUUANGGUUUGAAAUAAGGAAAUUCUAUAUACGGAAAUGUUAAUUGCGGUCUCAAAAUUUGAUUAUGAUUACGGCAUCCCUCUUCAUAAUCAAAAGUAUGAGAACAUGGCAAGUAGAAAUAUUAUAACAAAAGGCUGAUCAAGUAUCAUGUCUUUGUUGGAUUAAUGUAUAAGUCCAUAACUAUAAUUGGUGAGACUUGACUCGACCCGGCAUGGUCCAUUUGGGUUGCAUGGCAUCAUGCACUUGGAUAGACUUGAAUGAGAGAAAUAAGACACUUAUGGUUAUUAAUAUAUUAUAAGUUCUAGUAUAUUAAUAAUAAGAUUAAUAAGAUUAUUUAAUUAGUAUUGAUCAAUAAUUAAUCUAGGAUUAAUUAAGUGAUCAAAAGAAGACUAAUUAAAUAUAUGGGUUGAUUGUGUAAAUCAUCCAUACUUAUAUAGUGGGCUAAUGCUCCAUGGAUUAUCUAGAUGGGCUAAAACCCGUAUGAUGCUUCAUGGAUGCUCCAUGGUGUUUUUGUACCCAUGGAUCAUGUAAAUGAAAUGCCAUGUCAAUUAGGGUGUACAUGGUGUAACCCUAACUAUAUAUGUAUCUUAUUCUUGACCAAAAUCGGCACUAGUAUCAUUCUAGAGAAGGGCUAGCCGAUUUCAAGUGUUUUACAUUUCUCUCAAGGUUAGUCCAAAAGAAAUUGGUGUUGUGUAAACCAUUUGAGGUGUCACACUUGGGGCACUAGGUACUCAAGCUUCAUGAAGACAUUCUACAUCAAAGAGGUAUGUAAUUCUAACUUGAUAUAUUCAUAUGAUUCAAUGUUAUUAUGCUAGUUAGGAUGAAUACCUUGGAAAGUUCAUAUUUGCAUGUAUAAUAGAGAAAACAUAGAUCCAGGGUAUUUAGGGUUGCAUGUACACUUAGGAGUGUUAGAAUGCUCAAAACCCAACAGUGGUAUCAGAGACUAGGCUUGUUUUCUUGUUAUAGUUGCAAAAUUGGCUGGAAAAUCGAGUUUUUAUGAGUCUGGCCAUCAGACUCGGCGAGUCCAUCAGGAGACUCGNNNNNNNNNNNNNNNNNNNNNNNNNNNNNNNNNNNNNNNNNNNNNNNNNNNNNNNNNNNNNNNNNNNNNNNNNNNNNNNNNNNNNNNNNNNNNNNNNNNNNNNNNNNNNNNNNNNNNNNNNNNNNNNNNNNNNNNNNNNNNNNNNNNNNNNNNNNNNNNNNNNNNNNNNNNNNNNNNNNNNNNNNNNNNNNNNNNNNNNNNNNNNNNNNNNNNNNNNNNNNNNNNNNNNNNNNNNNNNNNNNNNNNNNNNNNNNNNNNNNNNNNNNNNNNNNNNNNNNNNNNNNNNNNNNNNNNNNNNNNNNNNNNNNNNNNNNNNNNNNNNNNNNNNNNNNNNNNNNNNNNNNNNNNNNNNNNNNNNNNNNNNNNNNNNNNNNNNNNNNNNNNNNNNNNNNNNNNNNNNNNNNNNNNNNNNNNNNNNNNNNNNNNNNNNNNNNNNNNNNNNNNNNNNNNNNNNNNNNNNNNNNNNNNNNNNNNNNNNNNNNNNNNNNNNNNNNNNNNNNNNNNNNNNNNNNNNNNNNNNNNNNNNNNNNNNNNNNNNNNNNNNNNNNNNNNNNNNNNNNNNNNNNNNNNNNNNNNNNNNNNNNNNNNNNNNNNNNNNNNNNNNNNNNNNNNNNNNNNNNNNNNNNNNNNNNNNNNNNNNNNNNNNNNNNNNNNNNNNNNNNNNNNNNNNNNNNNNNNNNNNNNNNNNNNNNNNNNNNNNNNNNNNNNNNNNNNNNNNNNNNNNNNNNNNNNNNNNNNNNNNNNNNNNNNNNNNNNNNNNNNNNNNNNNNNNNNNNNNNNNNNNNNNNNNNNNNNNNNNNNNNNNNNNNNNNNNNNNNNNNNNNNNNNNNNNNNNNNAAUACCCAAUCUUAGUUACUUAGGAAAAUGUGAAUAAGGUGCUAAUCCAUGAAAUUACACUUUGCACUUUGUUUAAGUCGGUUAGUGGAGCGUGUGUGGUUAACCGGCACACUAACUCGUAUUUAACAAGGUAGGCAAAGGGUAACUUAAUGUUUAUCAUAGUAUCGAUGGAGCGUGUGUGGUUAACCGGCACAUCGAUUGAGGGGUAAACACUUAAGGGUACCAAGUAAUUUGCAUGGUUACUUCACACCUUGUUUUGUGAUCCUCGGCAUCCCAGUCACAAAACCUGAAGGGCACACUCGAGAUUGAAACAUGCCAUUGAAAAGUUCAAUGAAUCUCAAAAGAUCUAGGAGUUUAAAAUCCAAUUAAAACCUAAUAAUACAUUUCGUUUAUCUUGGUGGAAAUUGGUGAAUCAUCAUUCACCUACCUUCAAAUAUUUUAUAGCUUGGAUUACGGCAUCCUUCUUCCAAGUUAUAAAAGUAUUAUGUUGGGUCCUAGCCUUAAUAUUUCAUAUUGGGUGUUAUAUUAAGGACUUUAAAUCAACUAUCUUGAAUAUCUCCCAAAAGAUGUCUAGUUUAGACAUCUAUGAUCUUCCCAAAUCUCUUGAAACAAGCUUUCCUAAAUGAAGAUGAUGUCCCAUGGAAAUCAUACUUCUUUCACCUCCUCCAAUUAUUCUCCCUAACCCACAAGUUCUUGAAAAGUUUAAGGUCACUCAAGCCCUAUUGGCAAGUAAAGGUCUAUGUGUGAUCACAUCUUGGAGAUGUAGUCACACAUUGACAAGCCGGGAGAGUUGGGUGUCAAAGUCUUGAGAAAGUUGGUGGCUCAACUACUUUCUAAGUCACAUAGCGAGUUACUUUAAGACUCCUAUGAAACCGACUAUGACAAGACCCUUAAUGAUCUUAUCUAUUUGCUAAGAUCAGCUUCCUAAAACUUGUGGACAUUGACAACAAUGACAUUGGAUAUACAUUAAAGCUCUCUCUUCCCAAUGGAAAGGGAUCAGCCAUAGUCAACCCGGUUGACCAAAUGGUAAAGAGAAAGGCUAAGUCUGUGAUAGUCCCAUUUCCAUUACCAAAGCGUCCAUAUGUUAAAUUGACAAAGGAAGGGGCAUUGGUUACGAAGCUGCCAAUUUACCUAUGGGUGUUAAAGUCAUUAAGUUUGACUCUACUUCAGGUAAAGUCCACUAUCUAACUCUACCAAGUUUCUCUUCUGAGAUUCUUGAUACAUGAUGUGACUGGGUCACAUGGUAAUGUUUUAAAAAUCAAAGAAAAGUGAAGAAACUUAAAGAAAGAAUAUGUUGAAUCUGAUCACGUAGAUGGAUUUCUAUCGCAUAGUUUGAACAUCAGAUUCUUGAGCUACUUCUUAGGAGUUAUGAGAUAUUGCUUAGGAAUAGAUAACAACAUGUUGUCAUACGGAUUGUAAGGAUAAGUUUUUCCGCAAAGUUUUUAAAAAAUAAAAGGAAAUUUUUUAAUUUAUUUAUUUUAUGUACCCUUACAAUGGCGUUUGUGAAAAAAUUGUUGCUUAUAUGACUCCAUUAAUAGCAAGAGUGGAAAUAUGAAUUUGAUUUUGUCAUUUGUGGUAGUGUCUAAAUUUACCAAAUAAGGAAAGUUUCUCAUAACCCAAGUUUCAGUUGGAUAGAAACUUGGAAUCAUGCAAGUUGUAUAGCAUGAUGAAUGAGAACUUUCAAGCAUUGGAAAAUUAAGACUAACUACUUGUCCACAUGGAUGUGUGAGUCAAGUAAAGGACUAAGGGAUCGAGUACACAUUCUUGUGAACUGAUUAAGUCCACCACAAAAGAUUGUUAAGAUUAUUCGUCAUAAUUUACUAAAGCUCAGUAAAUAUGGUUAUACUUACAAGCUUAAGUGUAAUUCUGAGACAUUGGAAAAGGUUCCAAUGUAUGGUAGAGCG
rnacentral:lncRNA from 1 species